CUGAGCAAUCCUUGCAAAUCUCACAUCUGUUAUAUAUUUGUUGCGGGGACUGUGGCUUGCAAUCCUCACUCACAGUUACAGCUGAGCUACCCCUUUAUAUAUGGAUCCUUACAACCCUCACUUUCCCUCAUAACUCACUUGUUCGCUAACAAUCUGCAACCCUUCUUCUUCACGAUGUAGCCAGAUUCGUUCUGUUGAUCUUACAUCCAAGCUUGCUGUGCUUGCUGUCUACUCCACCUUGAUCGAUAGGCCACUAAACAUGUCCACGCAGUUUCACAACAAUCCAUCCUUCAACGGAUCUGAUCUUGUGGAAAUGGUCCAAGAUCGUGACGCGUCCUUAAUUUCAAAUGUGAUUUCCUUAAUUAAUUAAGUUACAAUUUGUAUAGCUGAUAACACGGUUGACGUGACUAUGAUCAUUUCUAAUAAGAUUCUCGGAGUGACCCUACUCAACCGGCACUCAUGUGAACUUAUAAUAAAUGAUCAGGCAAUUUUAUUCAUCAGUGUGCAUAGUAUAUAGCCUACCUUAUUUUUAAAAGUUUUUCUUCCCCAUCUAGUGUCAUGUAUUGUAAAAGGGUAAUUCAAACAAAUGGGAUUGAAAUUCCUCCCCUAGGGUCAUGUAUUGUAAAAGGGUAAUUCAAACAAAUGGUAUUGAAAUUCCAUAGGUAAAAAUGAAUUCAAGAAUUGAUUUA